CCCUUAGAUGUUCUGGGUCGCACGCGCGCUACACUGAUGCAUUCAACGAGUUUCUUCCUGGUCCGAGAGGAAUGGGUAACCUUUUGAAAGUGCAUCGUGAUAGGGAUAGACUAUUGCAAUUAUUGGUCUUCAACGAGGAAUUCCUAGUAGACGUAGUUCAUCAGACUGCAUCGAUUACGUCCCUGCCCUUUGUACACACCGCCCGUCGCUCCUACCGAUUGAAUGCUCAGGUGAGCCAUUCGGACUUUCAUCAUGCUGGUUUCCAGUUUUGAUGAAGGAAAGUCUUGCGAACCUUAUCAUUUAGAGGAAGGAGAGGUCGUAACA
rnacentral:rRNA from 1 species